UACGAGGGGGGCGAGCGUUGUUCGGAAUUAUUGGGCGUAAAGGGUGCGUAGGCGGUUCCGCAAGUCCUGUGUGAAAUCUUCGGGCUCAACUCGAAGUCUGCACGGGGAACUGCGGGGCUUGAGUGUGGGAGAGGUGAGUGGAAUUCCCGGUGUAGCGGUGAAAUGCGUAGAUAUUCGGAGGAACACCGGUGGCGAAAGCGACCUUCUGGGCCAUUUCUGACACUGAGGCUCGAAAGCUAGGGGAGCAAACGGG
rnacentral:rRNA from 1 species